AGCUUUGCGCAGUGGCAGUAUCGUAGCCAAUGAGGUUUAUCCGAGGCGCGAUUAUUGCUAAUUGAAAACUUUAAAUGACAGCAAAAAAUAAAAUAUUUUUAACAUUAUUCAAAGCUUGAGAGCU
rnacentral:snRNA from 1 species